GCCAGCUGUGUGCUGGGUUCCGUACAGCAUGUUAGGGACACAGAAAUGACAAAGCCACGGGUUCUGCCGGGCCUGGUGCAGCAGGGGAGAUAGACAGUGUCCCCAAACAAAGAUUACAGAAUAUUCCUGCAUGGAGGUGGUGCCCAAGAGGGCCUGGUGAGCUCUACUUGGUAAGUCAGAGAAGGCUUCCUGGAGGAGGAGUUUACUCUCCUCUGAAGUCACAUCCUGGAAGAUGAGCUGAAGGGCAUGAGAUGGAUGCGUGGACUGGGAUUCCAGGCACUCAGCACAUGAGAAGGCUGGAGAUGGUCAUGUGUGGCGCUCCAAGGUCUCGUUUUCUGAACAAGUAGAACAUACAGGAAAUUCUGGCUUAUCAACAAAGUGAAUUCAGGAAAGCCCAUAGAAAAACGGGUAAAGGGUAUGAAAAGGUAAUUCAUGCAAGAGGAAACCCAAAUGAUUAAUAAAUCGAUGAAGAUAUGUUCAAACCCACUGUUAGCCAGAAAUGCAAAAUAAAAGAACAAGAUAUGGCAUCAGCUUGGCAACAACUGGGAUGUUAAUAACAUCAAGUGACAAAGCCGAAAAGAGAACCCUCAUCUACUGCUGGUGGGAACGUGGACUGGCAGAGUCAUUCUGGAAAACAGUCUGGCAGCCCGCAGUGGAAUUAGCUUCUAGAUUUGAGGGACUUUACUCCCCAGGAGAGUGAAGUGAGCUGGGCUGGAACUGAGAGUCUGGUGGCCGAGCCCACAGGAAGCUGGGGUCUGUGGCUCAGAUGCAGGAUUGGGCAAGAGCAGAGAACUGGUUCCUGGG